rnacentral:rRNA from 1 species
CACGUAGGGUCCGAGCGUUGUCCGGAAUUACUGGGCGUAAAGCGUGCGCAGGCGGUUGGGUCAGUCGCUGGUGAAAGCCCCGCGCUCAACGUGGGAAUGGCCAACGAGACGGCCCGACUGGAGGCAGGGAGAGGCCGGUGGAAUUCCGGGUGUAGUGGUGAAAUUCGUAGAUAUUCGCAAGAACACCAGUAGGCGAAGGCGG